ensembl:lncRNA
GUGCUGUUCCACAGAUCAUAACACAGAAGUACAGCUGGUUCUCAUGGGUGCCAGAGCUGAUCCAGAUCUUCAUCACCAUCAGUAUAACCGUGAGCCUCCUCGUGAAGGGCACAGCUAUGAAGCACACCAUCGUCAGUGUGUCCUACACAUGACCAAGGCCUCCACUGGAGGUUAUGUGUGUGUCUGGUCUGACUCUGACUGCUCUUGGCUCUGUUACACUGCCUGCUGCAUCUAUCAGAGAGGCUGAAGCCUGUUUCUGGGCCAAGUCCAGCAAAGCUCUCAGCAGAGGGUGUCACUGUGAAUUAUGUCCAACCCAUGGCUCACCACGCAGUAAUUUCAUGAUCAAACAUGGCCUUUGGAUUCAGUCGAUGGCCUCAUGGGCACACACUCGACGGAGAAUGCAGAAUGGAUGGUGAGAAUCAGCACGAGGCUAUUGCCCCAUAGUUCACAGUGGAGGACAUCAGCCCGGAGCUUACAGCAUUGCAGACGGUAAACUCUGGAUUCAGCCCUGGCAGAUCAUUUCACAGACCAUUUCUUACAGCUUUUACAGCCCGUCACCACUCACACAGCCCGCAUAUUCCUUUACUCUGCUAAUAAAAAAGGCUUUUGGUGCA